rnacentral:rRNA from 1 species
GUGAACGCUGGCGGUAGGCCUAACCCCUGCAAGUCGAACGGCAGCACCGUAAGAGCUUGCUCUUACGGGUGGCGAGUGGCGGACGGGUGAGGAAUACAUCGGAAUCUACUUUUUCGUGGGGGAUAACGUAGGGAAACUUACGCUAAUACCGCAUACGACCUACGGGUGGAAGCAGGGGAUCUUCGGACCUUGCGCGAUUGAAUGAGCCGAUGUCGGAUUAGCUAGUUGGCGGGGUAAAGGCCCACCAAGGCGACGAUCCGUAGCUGGUCUGAGAGGAUGAUCAGCCACACUGGAACUGAGACACGGUCCAGACUCCUACGGGAGGCAGCAGUGGGGAAUAUUGGACAAUGGGCGCAAGCCUGAUCCAGCCAUACCGCGUGGGUGAAGAAGGCCUUCGGGUUGUAAAGCCCUUUUGUUGGGAAAGAAAAGCAGCAGGUUAAUACCCCGCUGUUCUGACGGUACCCAAAGAAUAAGCACCGGCUAACUUCGUG